rnacentral:rRNA from 1 species
GGCGGCGUGCUUAACACAUGCAAGUCGAACGAUGAAGCCCUUCGGGGUGGAUUAGUGGCGAACGGGUGAGUAACACGUGGGCAAUCUGCCCUGCACUCUGGGACAAGCCCUGGAAACGGGGUCUAAUACCGGAUACGAGCCUCCCGGGCAUCUGGGAGGUUGGAAAGCUCCGGCGGUGCAGGAUGAGCCCGCGGCCUAUCAGCUUGUUGGUGAGGUAACGGCUCACCAAGGCGACGACGGGUAGCCGGCCUGAGAGGGCGACCGGCCACACUGGGACUGAGACACGGCCCAGACUCCUACGGGAGGCAGCAGUGGGGAAUAUUGCACAAUGGGCGAAAGCCUGAUGCAGCGACGCCGCGUGAGGGAUGACGGCCUUCGGGUUGUAAACCUCUUUCAGCAGGGAAGAAGCGAAAGUGACGGUACCUGCAGAAGAAGCGCCGGCUAACUACGUGCCAGCAGCCGCGGUAAUACGUAGGGCGCAAGCGUUGUCCGGAAUUAUUGGGCGUAAAGAGCUCGUAGGCGGCUUGUCGCGUCGAUUGUGAAAGCCCGGGGCUUAACUCCGGGUCUGCAGUCGAUACGGGCAGGCUAGAGUGUGGUAGGGGAGAUCGGAAUUCCUGGUGUAGCGGUGAAAUGCGCAGAUAUCAGGAGGAACACCGGUGGCGAAGGCGGAUCUCUGGGCCAUUACUGACGCUGAGGAGCGAAAGCGUGGGGAGCGAACAGGAUUAGAUACCCUGGUAGUCCACGCCGUAAACGGUGGGCACUAGGUGUUGGCGACAUUCCACGUCGUCGGUGCCGCAGCUAACGCAUUAAGUUCCCCGCCUGGGGAGUACGGCCGC